GACGAACGCUGGCGGCGUGCUUAACACAUGCAAGUCGAACGGUAAGGCCCUUCGGGGUACACGAGUGGCGAACGGGUGAGUAACACGUGGGUGAUCUGCCCUGCACUUCGGGAUAAGCCUGGGAAACUGGGUCUAAUACCGGAUAGGACCACUGCCUGCAUGGGUGGUGGUGGAAAGCUCUUGCGGUGUGGGAUGGGCCCGCGGGCUAUCAGCUUGUUGGUGGGGUGAUGGCCUACCAAGGCGGCGACGGGUAGCCGGCCUGAGAGGGUGACCGGCCACACUGGGACUGAGAUACGGGCCAGACUCCUACGGGAGGCAGCAGUGGGGGAUAUUGCACAAUGGGCGCAAGCCUGAUGCAGCGACGCCGCGUGAGGGAUGACGGCCUUCGGGUUGUAAACCUCUUUCAGCACCGACGAAGCGCAAGUGACGGUAGGUGCAGAAGAAGGACCGGCCAACUACGUGCCAGCAGCCGCAGUAA
rnacentral:rRNA from 1 species